rnacentral:rRNA from 1 species
UACGUAGGGUGCGAGCGUUGUCCGGAAUUUAUUGGGCGUAAAGGGCUCGUAGGCGGUCUGUCGCGUCGGGAGUGAAAACUCAGGGCUUAACCCUGAGCCUGCUUCCGAUACGGGCAGACUAGAGGUAUGCAGGGGAGAACGGAAUUCCUGGUGUAGCGGUGGAAUGCGCAGAUAUCAGGAGGAACACCGGUGGCGAAGGCGGCUCUCUGGGACGGUACUGACGCUGAGACGCGAAAGCGUGGGGAGCGAACAGG